GACAACCCUACCUCUCGCUUGGCAACUGUGAUUUUUUGUGUGGUCGUUUGAAGUUUCGGAAAUAGUUUUGCUUAAUUUGUUUAUAGCUUCUAAAGUAAUUGGAACACGAUGUCACUGAAUCCCCAGUACGAAGAAAUUGGCAAGGGCUUUGUGCAGCAGUACUAUGCCCUGUUCGACGACCCGGCGAACAGAGCUAGCGUGGUCAAUUUCUACAGCGCAACAGAAUCCUUCAUGACCUUCGAGGGCCACCAAAUACAAGGAGCUCCAAAGAUAUUAGAGAAAGUCCAGAGCCUGAGUUUUCAAAAGAUUACAAGAGUGAUAACCGCUGUGGACUCGCAGCCCACCUUCGAUGGAGGAGUUAUCAUCAAUGUCCUGGGACGUCUGAAGACCGACGAGGACCAGCCGCAUGCCUACAUACAGACCUUUGUGCUGAAGCCCGUCGGCGGUAGUUUCUUUGUGCAGCACGAUAUCUUUCGGCUAUCGCUGCACGAUGUGUAGCCCCCCGGGCCGCCGUCCUUCUCCCACCACCAAGCGAGCAGUCGGGCACGGGCCAGGCCAAGUAGAAAGAGAAGCGACACUUUUGUUGAGUUUACUGCAAAGAAAUCCAAGAAUACCUCAACUUCAACCUCAACCCAGUAACCCAACUAAGACACAAAGCCCUACCACGACCACGACUCCAACUCCGUCUUCGUAUCCGUCUUCGUAUCCGUCUCCGUAUCCGAAUCUGAAUCUAACUGCGACGAUGAUCCCCCGCAUGCCUUCUCGCAGGUCUUUACGCUGAAGGCCAAUGCCAACUCGUUCUUUGUGGCCCACGACAUUUUCCGAUUAAAUAUACACGAUUCUGCAUAAGUAAUAUCCAUAAAGAUACAUAACCACACCCAAAGAUGCGGCGAAGAAACAACAACUCGACAACAACAACAACAACAAAACUACAAGAACAGCUCAAUGACGAUUAUUUUCAACACCAACAUCAAGAAAUAAGCAGAAAGCACAACAACAACAGCAGCAACAAUUCAACAACUCAACAACUAUUCAACACCAACAUCAACAUCAACAACGGCUAGCUCAAUCAAUGGAUGGGGUGGAGGUCCACGCCCAUGAACAUGCCCAUACACUUGCACAGACGCAUACGCAGCGCCUCUGCAAGUUCUCACGUUUAUCAGCUAUGAACAAAACAGAAUAAACAAAGAAAUUAAAUUCUAACUACUAUUACAAUGUAAACGAAACGCAAAUGAAAUUAGCGUGUACCGCGCUCCAUUUUCCAUGUCAAUGACUAAUUUAAAAAGCGGACAAUUUACUUUUUAUUGAGACUAAAACUCACACAAAAACAACAAUUAUUGCACUUACAUUUAAGCGAGUUUAGGGGACAAGGACGAUCAUCGUGAGUUAGAGAGUUACUAACGUGUAUGCAAAA